UACGGAGGGGCUAGCGUUGUUCGGAAUUACUGGGCGUAAAGCGUGCGCAGGCGGUUGUGCAAGACAGAUGUGAAAUCCCCGGGCUCAACCUGGGAACUGCAUUUGUGACUGCACGGCUGGAGUGCGGCAGAGGGGGAUGGAAUUCCGCGUGUAGCAGUGAAAUGCGUAGAUAUGCGGAGGAACACCGAUGGCGAAGGCAAUCCCCUGGGCCUGCACUGACGCUCAUGCACGAAAGCGUGGGGAGC
rnacentral:rRNA from 1 species